rnacentral:lncRNA from 1 species
UUCAAGCAAAUGUGACAAUCCACUGUCCUGUAAAAGGUGUCCCUCAGCCUAAUGUAACUUGGUUGAAGACAGGAGGAUCUCUGAGUGACAAUGUUUCCUUGCUUUUCAAUGGAUCCCUGUUGUUGCAGAGUGCUUCACUCGAAAAUGAAGGAACCUACAUUUGCACAGCCACCAAUGCUCUUGGGAAAGCAGUGGCAACCUCUGGGCUCCGC